rnacentral:rRNA from 1 species
UACGUAGGGGGCAAGCGUUGUCCGGAAUCAUUGGGCGUAAAGCGCGUGUAGGCGGUCCGAUCAGUCGGCUGUGAAAGUCCAGGGCUCAACCCUGGGAUGCCGGUCGAUACUGUCGGGCUAGAGUCCGGAAGAGGCGAGUGGAAUUCCCGGUGUAGCGGUGAAAUGCGCAGAUAUCGGGAGGAACACCAAUGGCGAAGGCAGCUCGCUGGGACGUUACUGACGCUGAGACGCGAAAGCGUGGGGAGCAAACAGG